AGUGUAGGCGGCUUCGUAAGUCGGAUGUGAAAGCCCUGGGCUUAACCUGGGAAUGGCAUUCGAUACUGCGCGGCUAGAGUCUGAUAGAGGGAAGUGGAAUUCCAGGUGUAGCGGUGAAAUGCGUAGAGAUCUGAAGGAACACCAGUGGCGAAGGCGGCUUCCUGGAUCAAGACUGACGCUGAGGCUCGAAAGCGUGGGGAGCAAACAGGAUUAGAUACCCUGGUAGUCC
rnacentral:rRNA from 1 species